AUAGGUGGACCAUACUAAGUCGGCAAAGUUCAUGAAAAUUAUGCGGAAUGUGGGCGAGAUGAAGUAGAAGUUGAUCAUCUGAGCUGGAGGCCAAAAACACCAGUCAGCCUGCAGUGUCUUCCUCCAUGACAGCCAUACCUGCAAUAAAAAGUUGUCUGUCAGAUAUGCGUCAGCGCCACGCUUCAUCAAAGCCGACUUCAGUGAUGCCCUCUGCCCCCAGUCACAUGUCUUUGUUUUCUCACACACGGAGCACCGCAUAUGAAAGAGGGAAAGCCAAGCCC